rnacentral:tRNA from 2 species
GCGACUAUAGCUCAGUUGGUUAGAGCACCACCUUGACAUGGUGGGGGGCACUGGUUCGAGUCCAGCUAGUCGCACCA